UGCUCUUAAUAUCCAUGGUACUUUGAUGCCUGGUUUGGUCUUUAUUAUUAAUUUAAAGCUUCUUGCUUCUUGCACCUUCGCUCUAAAAACAUUAAUUAUCCCCUGUUUUUAUUGUACUCCUACCCCGUUUUCCCUGCAAAAGAAAUGACAUAGGCAAUCAAUCAUGUCUACAAUUAGGCGUUUGGAUAAGGCACCAGUCAUGUUUAGAAGUGGAUUAAGCCUAGCUAGACGUUUGAAUAAGCAUUGAUGACACACAUUAAUAUCUCACCAAAUAACCGAGUCAACAUUGACAUACACUUUUGUUAUAAAUACAGAUCAUGGAUAUACUCCCACACCCAUCAGUUUCAUUUAGAAAAAACAAACACACAUUACCUCUUCAAUAUGGCAUCAUACAUGAAGAACGCUGCUAAAGGAUCACUGACCAAGGCUUUCACAUGCCUGUGGCUGGUGAUGCUGGUUUUCCUGUCAUCUGAAAAAAUGGGGUCGCAUGGCUGUGAAAAGCAAAAUAGCACGACGUGGGACGGAAGGCCAUGCAUCCGGAGAGGCACGUGCAACAGGCCCUGCAGGGCCGAGGGCUUCGACAACGGCCAUUGUGAUAACCUCUUUACAUGCAUCUGCUACAGAAACUGCACCGACCUAUCAUUUAGCCAUAUGUAUAUGCCACUCCAUGCAUGAUCGACCGGUAAAAUAAGUUAAGAAGUUCUCUUCAUGGCAUAAUAAAGGAACGGAGCUUGUCAGCUUGAUAGGGCAGUACCAAUGUGGUGCAAUCUUUUGCACGAUUUUUAUUAUGAUUAACACUGCUCAUCUCAGCUUCUCAA